rnacentral:misc_RNA from 1 species
AGUCGUAACAAGGUUUCCGUAGGUGAACCUGCGGAAGGAUCAUUACAGUAGUCGCCCGGGUUGCCGCAAGGCCUCCCGGGUAACCUACCACCCUUUGUUUAUUACACUUUGUUGCUUUGGCAGGCCUGCCCUCGGGCUGCUGGCUCCGGCCGGCGAGCGCUUGCCAGAGGACCUAAACUCUGUUUGUCUAUACUGUCUGAGUACUAUAUAAUAGUUAAAACUUUCAACAACGGAUCUCUUGGUUCUGGCAUCGAUGAAGAACGCAGCGAAAUGCGAUAAGUAAUGUGAAUUGCAGAAUUCAGUGAAUCAUCGAAUCUUUGAACGCACAUUGCGCCCCCUGGUAUUCCGGGGGGCAUGCCUGUCCGAGCGUCAUUACAACCCUCAAGCUCAGCUUGGUGUUGGGCCCCGCCGCCCCGGCGGGCCCUAAAGUCAGUGGCGGUGCCGUCCGGCUCCGAGCGUAGUAAUUCUUCUCGCUCUGGAGGUCCGGUCGUGUGCUCGCCAGCAACCCCCAAUUUUUUUCAGGUUGACCUCGGAUCAGGUAGGGAUACCCGCUGAACCUAAGCAUAUCAAUAA